rnacentral:rRNA from 1 species
GACGAACGCUGGCGGCGUGCCUAAUACAUGCAAGUAGAACGCUGAAGAGAGGAGCUUGCUCUUCUUGGAUGAGUUGCGAACGGGUGAGUAACGCGUAGGUAACCUGCCUGGUAGCGGGGGAUAACUAUUGGAAACGAUAGCUAAUACCGCAUGAUAUUAAUUAUUGCAUGAUAAUUGAUUGAAAGAUGCAAUUGCAUCACUACCAGAUGGACCUGCGUUGUAUUAGCUAGUUGGUGAGGUAACGGCUCACCAAGGCGACGAUACAUAGCCGACCUGAGAGGGUGAUCGGCCACACUGGGACUGAGACACGGCCCAGACUCCUACGGGAGGCAGCAGUAGGGAAUCUUCGGCAAUGGGGGGAACCCUGACCGAGCAACGCC